rnacentral:rRNA from 1 species
UACGAGGGGGGCAAAUGUUGUUCGGAAUCACUGGGCGUAAAGGGAGCGUAGGCGGGUUUCUAAGUCAGGUGUUUAAUCCCGGGGCCCAACCCCGGACAGGCACUUGAAACUGGGAAUCUUGAAUAGUGGAGAGGUCAGUGGAAUUGGGGGUGUAGCGGUGGAAUGCGUAGAGAUCCCCAAGAACACCAGUGGCGAAGGCGGCUCACUGGCCCGGUACUGACGCUGAGGCGCGAAAGCGUGGGAGCAACAGGAUU